UUCUGAGACCUAACACCAAUUAGACAACAGA
rnacentral:piRNA from 1 species